rnacentral:rRNA from 1 species
AGCGGGAAAAGCUCAAAUUUAAAAUCUGGCGGUCUUUGGCCGUCCGAGUUGUAGUCUGGAGAAGUGCUUUCCGCGCUGGACCGUGUAUAAGUCUCUUGGAACAGAGCGUCAUAGAGGGUGAGAAUCCCGUCUUUGACACGGACUACCAGUGCUUUGUGAUGCGCUCUCAAAGAGUCGAGUUGUUUGGGAAUGCAGCUCAAAAUGGGUGGUGAAUUCCAUCUAAAGCUAAAUAUUGGCGAGAGACCGAUAGCGAACAAGUACCGUGAGGGAAAGAUGAAAAGCACUUUGGAAAGAGAGUUAAACAGUACGUGAAAUUGCUGAAAGGGAAACGCUUGAAGUCAGUCGCGUUGUCCGGAACUCAGCCUUGCUUUUGCUUGGUGCACUUUCCGGAUUGACGGGUCAGCAUCGAUUUUGACCGUCGGAAAAGGGCUGGAGUAAUGUGGCACCUCCGGGUGUGUUAUAGACUCCAGUCGCAUACGGCGGUUGGGAUCGAGGAACGCAGCGCGCCGCAAGGCAGGGGUUCGCCCACUUUCGCGCUUAGGAUGCUGGCAUAAUGGCUUUAAACGACCCGUCUUGAAACACGGACCAAGGAGUCUAACAUACCUGCGAGUGUUUGGGUGGAAAACCCGAGCGCGUAAUGAAAGUGAAAGUUGAGACCUCUGUCGUGGAGGGCAUCGACGCCCGGACCUGACGUUUACUGACGGUUCCGCGGUAGAGCAUGUAUGUUGGGACCCGAAAGAUGGUGAACUAUGCCUGAAUAGGGUGAAGCCAGAGGAAACUCUGGUGGAGGCUCGUAGCGAUUCUGACGUGCAAAUCGAUCGUCAAAUUUGGGUAUAGGGGCGAAA